rnacentral:rRNA from 1 species
AUGAAUGAAAGCCUUUCCAUCCUAAAUUAGAAUGUUCGUGGUCUUAACUGUCCGAAUCGUCGCACUACCGUUCAUGAGACAAUCGCUGCUACCUUUUGCAACCUUGUUUGCCUCCAGAAAAUGAAAUUGGCAGCGGUUGAUCCUUCCUUGGCUGCUUUUUUGGGUGGCCAACGACUGAAAAACUAUGCUGAGCGGCCAGCGGAUGGAACCAGAGGAGGCAUCCUCCUUCUCUGGAACGAAGACUUCAUUAAGGUGGAUAAUAUUUCCUUGGGCACCUUUAGCAUCUCUGCUACCAUCACUAUUGUCAGCACUCUUGUUUCCUUAAAACUCACUUCGCUUUAUGGUCCUAUUAGAAGCAACCUUAAAGAUUUUUUCCAAGAGCUUGUCAGCCUUAAACCGCAACAGGGUACGCGAUGGCUGGUUGCGGGCGACUUCAAUCAAAUCUACCGCGCGUGAGACAAAAACUGCGCAAACCUAGAUCGCUCUCGUCUUGUGUGCUUUCGAAAUGCCCUCAACUCCUGUGAGCUGAAAGAGAUCCACCUCCAGAACAGGAAGAUUACUUGGAGCAAUGAGCAAGCUAACUCGACCAUGAGCAAGUUAGAUUCUUUCUUCUGCAAUGACGACUGGGACGUUGAGUUUGGCUCUCACAUCCUUCGUGCUCUCUCAUCCUCGCUCUCGGAUCACUGCCCACUGCUUUUGGCUAGCGACAAGGGACCAAGACGACCCAAAAAUUUUUGAUUUGAAAAUUUCUGGACGAAGUAGUCCAACUUCAAGAGAAUUGUCCAAGAUGCAUGGAGCAACGGAACAAGCCACUCCGAGCCCUAUCAAGUGCUCUUUCACAAGCUGAAAAGAACAAGUCAGUGCCUCAGGUGGUGGAGCAAAUCCAUCUUCUCGAAUCACAAAGUGCAUCUCCACAUGGCCCUCGAGAUCACCUUCCGCCUCGACGUGGCUCAAGAGACCAGGACACUCAGCUUGGCUGAAUGGAAUCUGAGGAAGGACCUCAAAAAGAAGGUGGUGCCCUUGGCGGUUCUUAAGCGAACCAGGAAAAGACAAAGUUCGAGAGUUAAGCUACUCAAAGAGGGGGAUGCGAAUACCCGUUUCUUUCACCUCUGUAUCAACCACCGCCGAAGGAAAAACUUCAUUCACCGCCUUAAGCACAACAACGGUUGGGUCACCAGUCAUGAUCACGAGAAGGAUAUUAUCCAGAGCCACUUUUCAAAAGCCAUUGGGAAGGGCCUCACGCGCUCCAGGGACUUCAAUUGGGGCUGCAUCCCGCCGUCGACUUGUGACCUCUCCGACCUGGGUGCCCUUUUCACUGAGGAGGAGGUCCGGGCUGCGAUCAACGAACUUCCUGGGGACAAAGCUCCGGGCCGUGACGGUUUGUGA